UUUCUUCUGAAUUUUGUCCUUGGAGGUGUGGGAAGAAUGAAUAUUGAAUAUUCAUACUCAACAUGAAUAUUUUGGAAGCUGGGCCUGAAAGUUAAGGUUCUCAGGUGAAGCGCCAAGUAUGUCACUGAAAGCCCAGUGGAGUUAAGUGUGCAAAGUCAGUCUGAACAUAUGCUGUAAUGGAUUUGACCUCGAAUAGCACUACAAAGAGAAAUUGCAGAUAACCAUCUGAACUGACUUCUGAAGCUUGUAGUUCUGGCUCCUGAGAUACAGAGAGAAAAGUGAGACCAAACAGGUGGGAGCAAACAACUCAGAGAGACCAGAAUGAAUACGAG
rnacentral:lncRNA from 10 species